rnacentral:ncRNA from 1 species
CCGACCCGUCUUGAAACACGGACCAAGGAGUCUGACAUGCGUGCGAGUCGACGGGUUUUGAAACCUGGGAUGCGCAAGGAAGCUGACGAGCGGGAGGCCCUCACGGGCCGCACCGCUGGCCGACCCUGAUCUUCUGAGCAGGGUUCGAGUUGGAGCACGCCUGUCGGGACCCGAAAGAUGGUGAACUAUGCCUGAGCGGGGCGAAGCCAGAGGAAACUCUGGUGGAGGCUCGAAGCGAUACUGACGUGCAAAUCGUUCGUCUGACUUGGGUACAGGGGCGAAAGACUAAUCGA